UACGGAGGGUGCAAGCGUUGCUCGGAAUUAUUGGGCGUAAAGGGUAGGUAGGUGGUCUCAUUUGUCUGGGGUGAAAGCCUUGAGCUUAACUCAAGAAGUGCCCCAGAAACGGUGAGACUAGAAUCUUGGAGAGGGUCGUGGAAUUCCCGGUGUAGCGGUGAAAUGCGUAGAGAUCGGGAGGAACACCAGAGGCGAAGGCGGCGACCUGGACAAGUAUUGACACUCAACUACGAAAGCGUGGGGAGCAAACAGG
rnacentral:rRNA from 1 species